CCUACGGGAGGCAGCAGUAGGGAAUAUUGCUCAAUGGGGGAAACCCUGAAGCAGCAACGCCGCGUGGAGGAUGAAGGUUUUCGGAUUGUAAACUUCUUUUGUUAGAGAAGAUAAUGACGGUAUCUAACGAAAAAGCACCGGUUAACACCGCGCCAGCAGCCGCGGGAAUACGGAGGGUGCAAGCGUUACUCGGAAUCACUGGGCGUAAAGAGCGCGUAGGCGGGAUAGUAAGUCAGAUGUGAAAUCCUAUGGCUUAACCAUAGAACUGCAUUUGAAACUGUUAUUCUAGAGUGUGGGAGAGGUAGGUGGAAUUCUUGGUGUAGGGGUAAAAUCCGUAGAGAUCAAGAGGAAUACUCAUUGCGAAGGCGACCUGCUAGAACAUAACUGACGCUGAUGCGCGAAAGCGUGGGGAGCAAACAGGAUUAGAUACCCUAGUAGUC
rnacentral:rRNA from 1 species